ensembl:lncRNA
GUAGACGUGAUGUAAACUUCAAAUUUGAGAUAAGGAGCCAGAGAUAGACACACUUAAAGGUCAGACACACUUGCUUAGGCCUAUAUCAGGGAUUAAUUUGCAUUCUAAUUAUUUUUCCAAGAUCAAGUGGGCUAAGUAAAUAUAUUCAUCUACAGCACCCUGUUCUCUAGAGGGUAUAUGCAACCCUUCACCAUUAAUUUUAAAUUUUCAAAUUCUCCUGUUGAAAUAGAUAUAUAGCUUGGCCCUAGAAGGCAGCUAAUGUAACACCACUUUAUCAUGUGGCUUUGGAAAACAUUUGCAACACUAAGUAUUUAAGAGUUGUAUAUAUGUUUCAUAUUUUCAUGCUGAAAUGUAUGCAAAAAAAUUCCCUAAACUUGAACAUCUGCAUGAGGAUAAUCCACUUUCUUGCAAGUUUCAGGUAGAUGUCAGAAAUAGAAACCUGACUGAGCUGUGCCUCCCUUUGAUCCUUAUCAGACUUCCAUAGAAAGGAUUUUGGUGUCUCUCUUUGGAAGCUAAUGACAAAUUCCUCCUGGUCUUAGGGGCAGCAAGGCUUCACUCAGCACAGGCUGCUCCUGGCAGAGGUGUGUCACUGAGGGCAGGGAAGGGGUAGCUCAGCACCUUGGAUCAUUGAUGACUCCUAGAAAUGACUGAAAGGCUGUCAGGAUGGGUCAGGAGAGCUGGCACUCCUAAUUUACUUUCCAAGAGGAAAGGACUUCUUGCAAUAGUCAGGGAAUUUGCAGAAAAUCUGAAUGAGACUUCUUGUCUUAUUUGAAGAAAAGCUUUCAUUCCCAAUCAACCAGGAUCCAAGAAUUUGUCUAAGAGAAGUUCAGACAUGGGAACUUCAGUGUAUCUGGGAUGCUGCUUACACCAUGGGCCGAUGCAGGCCAUAUCUUUACCAAUGUAGUCAUGGAAAUCAAUAACGAGAGGGAACUGAAAAACAACUACAUCAAAGCUGGAACUUCAGGCAAAGACUCCACUGAGAGAUGAAGUUAAAAAAGAUAAAAAAGAAAGCAGAUGAACAAAUGCUACAUGCCUUAAUUCUGGAAAUUGUAACAGCCCUGCCAGAAAAAAUACUAUUUUGCUGGUUAAGUGAGGCUGUGGAUACCCCUCCUUGUCCAAGCUGGCUCUACUGACUGGAGAUAACCCCAGCUGCUCAUUGUAAUCCUGUCUCCAUCCAUGGCUAUUCAAAUGAAAAUAAUCGUGCCACCGUUUCUGGGCCAUCUGGGUGAACUGAAACCAGAGACCUGGGUGGACUGAAUCCACUGGUCAUGCUAACAGCAAGUGUAAGAGGAAAGUAUCCCACAAUAUUCCUAACUGCAAAUGGGGAUGGCAACAGCGCCCAGCAAAGAGUAGGCAACUAAGAACCAAGAAUCCAACAGCACACUCAGCCUGUAGGGUUGUCAGAAAGCUUAUUUUAGGAUGGUGUGCUGCUAUGGUUCUUAGAGAACAGGAAUUUUUUUCUAGUGAAAACAGGUUGAAAGUAUUCCACAGACAGUAGUGUGAAAGAAUACGUUCAAAAAAACUGCAUUUAAUGAAUAUGCAAGAGGUUGUGCUGACACAUUUAACUCUGGCUGAUUUUGCAGUCUCUAUAUAUCCUGAAGAUCGCUUUUAUAUGGAAUAUAUGUCUAUGUGUGUGUAUAUAUAUAUAUAUUAUAUAUAUGUACACACACACAUGUAGUAUUUAAUAUAAUCUAACUCUUUUUCUAUAUCAAGGGCCAUGAAAAAAUCUUGGCGUCUUGUGAUGACAAAUAACAAAAAAACUCUCAGAACUAAUGCAUUUAAAUUGACUGAUAUAAAAUGGAGGCUUUUUUUUUUUAAAGGCUCUGAACAUUUUCAGCAGUGCAGACACUCUAAUUCAUGUUCUGUGCUUAACUAAUGGCAGCUGUAUUCUCCAAAAUUGUACAUUUGGUCCUGUCUUCCCACAUGCUCUUAACAGCUAACCAACAAAAGCUCUUAGGACUUAAAAAAAAGCCCUUCUGAGCUCAGGGAAAUAAAAAGGUUUUUACACUGUUACUGGUUGCA